CAAACUGGAGAUGGCGACCGGCGCACGGGUGAGUAACACGUAUCCAACCUGCCGAUAACUCGGGGAUAGCCUUUCGAAAGAAAGAUUAAUACCCGAUGGCAUAAUAGAACCGCAUGGUUUGAUUAUUAAAGAAUUUCGGUUAUCGAUGGGGAUGCAUUCCAUUAGGCAGUUGGUGGGGUAACGGCCCACCAAACCUUCGAUGGAUAGGGGUUCUGAGAGGAAGGUCCCCCACAUUGGAACUGAGACACGGUCCAAACUCCUACGGGAGGCAGCAUG
rnacentral:rRNA from 1 species